CUACAUUAAGGUCCAAAGGGUCCAAAAUUAAACUUAGUUUGAUUUUAACAAAAAUUGAAUUCUUGGGGUUCUUUGAUAUGCUGAAUCUAAACAUGUGUUUAGAUUUUUGAUUAUGGGCCCAGUUUUCAAGUUGGUCCAAGUUGGGGUCCAAAAUUAAACUUUGUUUGAUUUCAACAAAAAUUGAAUAUAUGGGGUUCUUUGAUAUGCUGAAUCUAAACAUGUAUUUAGAUUUUAGAUUUUUGGCCCAGUUUUCAAGUUGGUCUAAAUUGGGGUCCAAAAUUAAACUUUGUUUGAUUUCAUCAAAAAUUGAAUAUAUGGGGUUCUUUGAUAUGCUGAAUCUUACCAUGUAUUUAGAUUUUUUAUUUGUGGGCCCGCUAUCAAAUUGGUUCAUAUUGAGGUCAAAAGGGUCCAAAAUUAAACUUUGUUUGAUUUCAUCAAAAAUUUAAUUAUUGGGGUUCUUUGAUAUGCCAAAUCUAACCGUGUAUUUAGAUUUUUAAUUUUGGGUUCUAUUUUUUAAAUUGGUCUACAUUAAGGUCCAAAGGGUCCAAAAUUAAACUUAGUUUGAUUUUAACAAAAAUUGAAUUUUUGGGGUUCUUUGAUAUGCUGAAUCUAAACAUGUGUUUAGAUUUUUGAUUAUGGGACCAGUUUUCAAGUUUGUCCAAGUUGGGGUCCAAAAUUAAACUUUGUUUGAUUUCAACAAAAAUUGAAUAUAUGGGGUUCUUUGAUAUGCUGAAUCUAAACAUGUAUUUAGAUUUUAGAUUUUUGGCCCAGUUUUCAAGUUGGUCCAAAUUGGGGUCCAAAAUUAAACUUUGUUUGAUUUCUACAAAAAUUGAAUAUAUGGGGUUCUUUGAUAUGCUGAAUCUUACCAUGUAUUUAGAUUUUUUAUUUUGUGGGCCUGCUAUCAAAUUGGUUCAUAUUGAGGUCAAAAGGGUCCAAAAUUAAACUUUGUUUGAUUUCAUCAAAAAUUGAAUUAUUGGGGUUCUUUGAUAUGCCAAAUCUAACCGUGUUUUUAGAUUUUUAAUUUUGGGUCCCGUUUUUUAAAUUGGUCUACAUUAAGGUCCAAAGGGUCCAAAAUUAAACUUAGUUUGAUUUUAACAAAAAUUGAAUUCUUGGGGUUCUUUGAUAUGCUGAAUCUAAACAUGUGUUUAGAUUUUUGAUUAUGAGACCAGUUUUCAAGUUUGUCCAAGUUGGGGUCCAAAAUUAAACUUUGUUUGAUUUCAACAAAAAUUGAAUAUAUGGGGUUCUUUGAUAUGCUGAAUCUAACCAUGUAUUUUGAUUUUGGACAUUGGACCAUAAUAGGUAAAUUAAAAAAAUUGAAGUUCUUAGACAACAUUCUUUCUGUGUCAGAAACCUAUGCUGUGUCAAAUAUUUAACCACAAUCCAAAUUCAGAGCUGUAUCAAGCUUGAAUGUUGUGUCCAUACUUGCCCCAACUGUUCAGGGUUCGACCUCUGCGGUCGUAUCAAGCUGCGCCCAGCGAAGCAUUUUAUUUUAGAUUUUAUAGACAAGAACGUGUGUGAUAUUGGUGUAGAGAUAUACCGACAAUUGUAUAUAGUGUACAUCGUUAUACAUAUUCUAUUGGUGAUUGGAUACUUUUAACUUAUAACAUUCUACUGGGGAAAGGAUAUUGUUGACUUCAUACUGAAGGUGUGCCUAUAUUGGCAGAAAAUAUAAAGAUACAGAUACAGAUAGUGAUGAGGAACCACACUAACCCUAUCAUAGGAAUACUGACUUUUGUAAUGACAACUAAUUCCAAAAGGGUCAGGUCUCUGCAAGCAGUGUUUUACCAAGAUUAGACAAACAGUAGCUGAUGGAGGAAUCAUAGUUGAUACAAAACAGAUAACGAUGGAGAUGAAAGCCAAAUUAAAGAUGCUCAGGUUCUCAUAGGAGUAUAUUCACAGCAUCAACUAAUUUUUUAUUCUCAACUCAACAAACUCAACAGAGGCUUGCAUUUCCUUUGGAAUGGAGAAUAUCCACCAUUUAGGAACCAAUUGAAUCUGGCAUGGGAUGAUGUAUCAUGUAUCAAAAAGUACAAUGGCUUUUUCUACAAAAUUAUCAUCAGAAAUUAUUGAUUUGAUUUUGAAUUAUAUUGUACCUGCACAAUACAAGUCGAUCAUGUGUUCUGAUCUGUAGUAGAAAAGAGGAAAACAGACGAAACACAGUCAAUAUUACAACAGGAUGUUUUGACUGAUGCAUACUUACUAACUUAGACCUGAAUAGUCAUCCGACCUGGCUUCAGAUCUAAUCACUGUUUUCAUGUAUUCAGACCGUUUUGCAUGUUUCUCUUUAUGGCAGACUUCGCUAAUAUUAUAUGGCAGUAAAAUUAUAAGCAAACAGCCUGAAUAAUUAUAUAACCAUUUUAAUGAAAAUGUCUGCACCACAGUUGAACCAUUUAUCUGUAUAUUUGUUUUUAUUCAUGUAGGUAUAAAAUAAAAUUUAUUUCCAUUUGAAAUAUUUUUGUUUGUCUGUGGUAGUAAUAGGCUAACUACAUCUUACAUGUCUUAUUUACAUGCCUCAAGUUAUUGGAGAUUACAUUCUAUGAGGAAACUUAACAUUGUUGUUAUGUCGACUGUUAUCCCAGA